rnacentral:rRNA from 1 species
UUUCUGGUGUAGGGGUAAAAUCCGUAGAGAUCAGAAGGAAUACCGAUUGCGAAGGCGAUCUACUGGAACAUUAUUGACGCUGAGACGCGAAAGCGUGGGGAGCAAACAGGAUUAGAUACCCUGGUAGUCCACGCCCUAAACGAUGUACACUAGUUGUUGUGAGGCUCGACCUUGCAGUAAUGCAGUUAACACAUUAAGUGUACCGCCUGGGGAGUACGGUCGCAAGAUUAAAACUCAAAGGAAUAGACGGGGACCCGCACAAGCGGUGGAGCAUGUGGUUUAAUUCGACGAUACACGAAGAACCUUACCUGGACUUGACAUAGUAAGAACUUUCUAGAGAUAGAUUGGUGUCUGCUUGCAGAAACUUAUAUACAGGUGCUGCACGGCUGUCGUCAGCUCGUGUCGUGAGAUGUUGGGUUAAGUCCCGCAACGAGCGCAACCCUCGUCCUUAGUUGCUAACAGUUCGGCUGAGAACUCUGAACAGACUGCCUUCGCAAGGAGGAGGAAGGUGAGGACGACGUCAAGUCAUCAUGGCCCUUAUGGCCAGGGCUACACACGUGCUACAAUGGCUAGGACAAAGAGAUGCGAUACCGCGAGGUGGAGCAAAUCUUAAAACCUAGUCUCAGUUCGGAUUGGAGUCUGCAACUCGACUCCAUGAAGCUGGAAUCGCUAGUAAUCGUAGAUCAGAUAUGCUGCGGUGAAUACGUUCCCGGGUCUUGUACUCACCGCCCGUCACACCAUGGGAGUUGAAUUCACCCGAAGCCGGAAUACUAGAAUAGUUACCGACCACGGUGGGUUCAGCGACUGGGGUGAAGUCGUAACAAGGUAGCCGUA